UUGUGCUAGGUGGAGAAGCAGGGCACGUGCAUUACCAUCUAAUAUAUGCAUGGCCAUAAUCAACCUACUUAAUUAACCAUGAUGCAUGAGGGGUUUUAAAUUGGAUGGUACUUCAUGUGCCCAUCUUCUCCACCGAGCCUAA
rnacentral:pre_miRNA from 1 species